rnacentral:rRNA from 1 species
UACGGGGGGGGCAAGCGUUGUUCGGAAUUACUGGGCGUAAAGGGCUCGUAGGUGGCCAACUAAGUCAGACGUGAAAUCCCUCGGCUUAACCGGGGAACUGCGUCUGAUACUGGAUGGCUUGAGUUUGGGAGAGGGACGCGGAAUUCCAGGUGUAGCGGUGAAAUGCGUAGAUAUCUGGAGGAACACCGGUGGCGAAGGCGGUGUCCUGGACCAACACUGACGCUGAGGAGCGAAAGCCAGGGGAGCAAACGGG